GGGCUGGAGUUGGGCUGUUGGGAGGACUGGGGUUGGGCUGUUGGAGGUACUGGAGGACUGGAGUUGGGCUGUUGGGAGGACUGGAGGACUGGAGUUGGGCUGUUGGGAGGACUGGAGGACUGGAGUUGGACUGUUGGGAGGACUAGAGUUGGGCUGUUUGGAGGACUGGAGGACUGGAGUUGGGCUGUUGGGAGGACUGGAGGACUGGAGUUGGGCUGUUGGGAGGACUGGAGUUGGGCUGUUUGGAGGACUGGAGGACUGGAGGAAUGGAGUUGGGCUGUUAGGAGGACUGGAGGACUGGAGGACUGGAGUUGGACUGUUUGGAGGACUGGAGUUGGGCUGUUGGGAGGACUGGAGGACUGGAGAUGGGCUGUUUGGAGGACUGGAGGACUGGAGUUGGACUGUUGGGAGGACUGGAGUUGGGCUGUUGGAGGUACUGGAGGACUGGAGUUGGGGUGUUGGGGUACUGGAGGACUGGAAUUGGGCUGUUGGGAGGACUGGAGUUUGGCUGUUGGGGUACUGGAGGCCUGGAUUUGGGCUGUUUUGAGGACUGGAGGACUGGAGUUGGGUUGUUGGAGGACUGAAGGACUGGAGUUGGGCUGUUAGGAGGGCUGGAGGACUGGAGGACUGGAUUUGGGCUGUUAGGAGGGUUGGAGGACUGGAGUUGGGUUGUUAGGAGGACUGGAGGACUGGAGGACUGGAGUUGGGCUGUUUGGAGGACUGGAGUUGGGUUGUUGGAGGACUGAAGGACUGGAGUUGGGCUGUUGGGAGGACUGGAGUUGGGCUGUUAGGAGGGCUGGAGGACUGGAUUUGGGUUGUUAGGAGGUUUGGAGGACUGGAGUUGGGCUGUUAGGAGGGCUGGAGGACUGGAGUUGGGCUGUGAGGAGGGCUGGAGGACUGGAGGACUGGAUUUGGGCUGUUAGGAGGGUUGGAGGACUGGAGUUAGGUUGUUGAAGGACUGUAGUUGGGCUGUUAGGAUGGCUGGAGGACUGGAGGACUGGAUUUGGGCUGUUAGGAGGGUUGUAGGACUGGAGGACUGGAGUUGGG
ensembl:lncRNA